CGAUGAAGGUCUUCGGAUUGUAAAGUUCUGUUGUCAGGGACGAACACGUACCGUUCGAAUAGGGCGGUACCUUGACGGUACCUGACGAGAAAGCCACGGCUAACUACGUGCCAGCAGCCGCGGUAAUACGUAGGUGGCAAGCGUUGUCCGGAUUUAUUGGGCGUAAAGCGCGCGCAGGCGGCUAUGUAAGUCUGGUGUUAAAGCCCGGGGCUCAACCCCGGUUCGCAUCGGAAACUGUGUAGCUUGAGUGCAGAAGAGGAAAGCGGUAUUCCACGUGUAGCGGUGAAAUGCGUAGAGAUGUGGAGGAACACCAGUGGCGAAGGCGGCUUUCUGGUCUGUAACUGACGCUGAGGCGCGAAAGCGUGGGGAGCAAACAGGAUUAGAUACCCUGGUAGUCCACGCCGUAAACGAUGAGUGCUAGGUGUUGGGGGUUUCAAUACCCUCAGUGCCGCAGCUAACGCAAUAAGCACUCCGCCUGGGGAGUACGCUCGCAAGAG
rnacentral:rRNA from 1 species